rnacentral:rRNA from 1 species
GUGCCAGCCGCCGCGGUAAUACGGAGGGUGCAAGCGUUACUCGGAAUCACUGGGUGUAAAGGGCAUGUAGGUGGCUCUGUAAGUCGGACGUGAAAUCCCUUGGCUUAACCAAGGAACUGCAUCCGAUACUGCAUUGCUUGAGUGUAGGAGAGGAGAACGGAAUUCCCGGUGUAAGGGUGAAAUCUGUAGAGAUCGGGAGGAACACCAGUGGCGAAAGCGGCUUUCUGGUCUGCAACUGACACUGAAAUGCGAAAGCAAGGGGAGCAAACAGGAUUAGAUACCCUGGUAGUCCUUGCCGUAAACCAUGGGUACUAGGUGUUGGUCCCUUUGGGAUCGGUGCCGAAGUUAACACGUUAAGUGUCCCACCUGGGGAGUACGACCGCAAGGUUGAAACUCAAAGGAAUUGACGGGGGUCCGCACAAGCGGUGGUGCAUGUGGUUUAAUUCGAUGCUACGCGAAGAACCUUACCAGGGCUUGACAUGCUAGAAGUAGGAACCUGAAAGGGCGACUAUCUGUCAAGUCAGAAGCUAGCACAGGUACUGCAUGGCUGUCGUCAGCUCGUGCCGUGAGGUGUUGGGUUAAGUCCCGCAACGAGCGCAACCCUUAUUCAUAGUUGCUACUUAUUAGCUGAUUAUAUUAGCAGAUAAGGCACUCUAUGGAAACUGCUUCGAGAAACGAAGAAGAAGGUGGGGAUGACGUCAAGUCAGUAUGGCCCUUAUGCCCUGGGCUACACACGUGCAACAAUGGCUUGGACAAAGAGACGCCAGACCGAAAGGUGGAGCAAUCUCAAAAAACAAGCCUUAUUCAGAUUGAAGCUGCACUCGCCUC